GAACGCUGGAUGCGAUGAAAGUCGCAUGUCCGGUGUGAAACAGGGGAAAACAACUCUUAACAGGUAAUGCUGAAGAUGAUUGUUACCUAUUGUUAU
rnacentral:ncRNA from 1 species